CCACUCAACUCUGCUCAAUACUGAUAAGUCAAAGAACAACCAAAUGUUUAAAAAAAGAUGAAAUUCAUCCCAGUGCAACGUGCCUGCAGGGUCUAUACAGUAUUUGAGGUCUGUGGAGGGUCUUCUAGAAGCCGAGGGCAGUAAGAACAGUCCUUGAAAAACUUACAGUCUAAAUAGACAAGACAGAUGGUGGAGCAGAAGUACAGAGGAAUCAAAUGACUUGCCCAGUAUCAGCCAGCAGAUGGGAAACUGAGUCACAUAAAGGUUAAGUGACUGUCAAAGUCACACAAGAAGUCAGUGGUGGAGCAAGAAAUUGAUCCCAGUUUUCUGUCUAGUAUCCUAACCACUGGUCCAUCCUUCCUCCCUAUCAUAAUUUACAAGUUUUGAUGGGGCUUUCUGCAUAACUAGCCUUUCAUAUGGAGAGAAAGGAGUUUGCAUGUAGCUGUAUACUACAAAUCCUACUAAAUACAGUAGGAGGAAAGCAAUGUUUUUCAUUAUUCAUGUACCCCUUUGCUUGGUCUGGCUGGGCCCUGCUCUGUUGCACCCUCUGAGAUGCCAGGCUGCUGUCUGCCAACGGACCUCAAGCUGGAGCCAGGAGAGUGCUGCUAAAGCGGUAGGAUUGAAUCUCCAUGAGACAAAACUUAAAGAAGAGAAUAACCUGGAGUCUCAAGAGGAGGAUAGCCAUGUCUGUCUAGGUGCCCCUGAUCAACCUCACCAAGGUCUGCCAGGAGCACUCAGGAGACUGACAACUGCUAUCAGUCCUACUGCACCAUCUGCCGCGAAGGCAAGGAGCUGUUGCAGUGUAGCAAUGCAGUACCAUGUCUGCCAGCAGCACCCAGAAGACGUACUGUGACGAUUCAAGUAUUUGGUAUUCCCCUCAUCUCAUCUCAUCUCUGAAGAGUUUGUUUUCUUCAAAAGCAGGAGAUAAUUACUGAUAGCAAAGAAGAGUAUGUUUGUGAAGAUGGCACCUACAGAAACAUUUCCUUUGAAGAUAUAAUAUAUAUCAUGGGGCAGGAGCUUUUUGGGUACCUGAUGUGGUAGUAACAGCAUCAGGCAUCAUCAAUAGUAGAAUAUAAGGCAGCUUUAUCAGCUAUUUUUUUCUGAAUUCAAGAUGUUCUCAAGUUUUGUCCUCUGGAAGAAGACAACUUCUUGUGGCUGAAUAGCAUAUUUUAAAUGUGAAGACCCAGUUCAUCAGCUGGUGUAAAGUGGUGUGUCUGCAUUGUCUCAAGUGAGGAGUUAAAUAGGGUCAGUAAAAGGGCAACCUGACAGUAAUGCAUGCAUAGUGAAAUCUACCACAUAACUGGGAACGUGUGCAAGGAUGUAGAUAUCCCACCGUGCCCCUCUGAAUUGGAGUCAAGGGCAGAACAGCUGUACCAGGAGAUCUUUGUGUGUCAGAAAAAACAUUACCUGUGCGAUACCAAACCAUCUUGCACAAAAUGGAAAUUCAGGGGCUAUCUGUUUAAGAGGUCAUUGGAAUUGCACUCAUGCAGAUCCAUUACCCAGCAACCUGCAUCUAGAGAUGUGGAAGGAUAGCACUGUAGACUCUACUUCAGCCCAUAGUUUGAGAAGCAAUCUGCCCCAUGAGAUUUAUUUUUAGCCCAUCCAACGUUAUUGAUGACACCUGCAUAAAGCACUGUUACCCAGACUAUAUGUAGGUUUCCAGAAUGUCAACCACCGCACAUAUUUCUUCAGUUCAAAACUAAAUAAAAAUCUCUAAAUAAUGCUGGAUGCUGCUAUUAAUGGGCUAUCAAAUGCCCAAGAUUCUCACUGCAUUUAGAGUAAUUAUCACUUCAUUCAAAUCAUUAGUCUACGUUUCCCCCAGACAGAGGCAAUGCAAUGGAGGCUCACUGAAGCUCCAGCAUCACUUUUCAGUGAGUAUUAGAGCUCAGGAUAUAAAAAUUAGAAUGGAUUGUUAGCAAUUUUCUACAGAUGUACUUUGCAAUGAGCAGUGACCUGUAGUUUAUGAUACAUCUCCAAAGAAGUGGGUUUUUUUAGAGCUAUUUUAACAAAAUACUUUGCUUUGAAUCCAGUAAUUGCCAAUGCAUUUGAACACUGAAAUGGUCAAAAUUUUCUUCUGACCUAGAUCAUUUUGGUUGGUUUAUAUGUAUGUGAGAUGAAGGGUAUUGAGUUUUCUACAAAAAAUAUACCUGAUUCACAAAUUCUCCCAUUUUAAGAGAGAUUCAUUGUCCUAGGAGAAUACCUGUUAAUGACACUAGCAAAUGCCUAUUUCAGACAGGGAUGACCUGUCAGGGAUCUAUAGAGUGUAAAACCAAAACUAUUUUCUGAUUAUACUAUAACGAUUUAUGGAAGCAAAUUGAAAGAAUGCUAAAAUAAAAUUAAGGACCUAUAUUUGGUAAACUAGAUAUGAAACUAGGUGGUAAAUGUAACCUAUUGGCAGUGAUUUGCAAAAUGCUUGCAUCACACCUUAGACUCAGUUGUACACAUGUGACAGUACCCAAGGUACAAUCUGGACUGAUGGACAGCUGUGCCCCCUCAAGUCUCCAAUCUGGGGUGCUUUUUACACUGCCUUGCUAUGAGAACAACCCACUUCUGGUCUGCUCACACUUAGCCUCCAGCGUGUAAAUCAUUCCCAGCUAUAUUGUAAGAGUGCCGUAGCCAGCCACUCUUGAAUUACCCUGUAGGGCUACACCACUAAACUCCCAACACCAGGAAACUCCUAGUCCCAGAUUUCCACCCCCAGAAAUGUGUUUUUUAUGGUCCAACUUUUUCCCAGACAAUACAAGCUCAGAUAAAGUCUGUCAUUUUAUUAAUAGAAAAUAAUAUGCACAAAUUCUGUUAUCCCAAAUGAAGUUCCCCAAACACUUCAAUCUGAGCACACGCUGGUUUAGGUAAAACAAUAAAACAAUUUUAUUGACUACAGAAGAUAGGUUUUAAGUGAUCACAAGUAAUGAGGCAUAAAAGUCAGAAUUUGUUACAAAGAAAUAAAAGGUAAAAGGCAAAUAAUACCUAACUUAAUAAGCUAAGUCAAUUCAAGGAAAGGUCUCUUUCAUCACAAAUUCCAAUAUUCUUACUGGCUGAACCCUUUAGUCAAAAUCUCCCCUCAGUCCAAUUCGUCUUCAAGUAUUGUUGAUGCCAGUUGAUAGAAAGGAAGAGAUCAUUUGGGAUAUUUGUUCUCUCCUCUUAUAGCUCUUUCUUUUGCACAAGAAUCAUCUCCAGCUGAUGUUCAGGGGACAGAAAGUCUUCACGGAUAGGAAUCUAAAGCUGCUUCUUUGUCAAAAUAUAGAUUUUUUUGCCCACACCCUCUCUCCUGCCAAAGAGUGGCCACUUAAUCAGGUGAUGGUCCAUUUGAUCUUGUUGACACCUGGCUGAGGAGUUGGCUAACCUUUUGUCUCCGGGGUACUGGUUUGUGACAGCUCUCCAGAACAUGUUUGGAAAUGUCUUGGUAACAUUGUACUAUGGGAUCUUAUAACCCUAUAUGUUUUACUAAGACACUAAUGAUCAGCAAAUCAUGAGUUUUCAAAUGAUAUCUCACAAGUCGUGCAUUGUACAAGAUUUAUUAUAAAAGGGGUAAACAUAGGGAUAUGAUGGUUUAGUGUAAAUUGCAGACCUUUGUUCACAUAUAUGCAUAUAGGCUGAUGUUGUCAAUAUCUCUUCACUUCAUGAUUCUCAUCUGAUCUUCCUCCCUUUCUCAACUCCCAUAAGCCUAGGGACUCUCACAUUAGAAGUUUGAGUUUGCCAGACUCUAUCCUCCAUACAAAUUUCCAGAGAUUGGUUCAUUUCUAGUCCUUGUCAAUCAAAUGUGCAAGGAUCAGUUUAGAAACUCAUCAAGCAUCAAAUCCUGUACUGCUCACACAGCCCUACAUAAUGGUUAGAAAACAAUAUUAACAAUAGUCUUCAGUUUAAAAGAAGAAAUGGAUGCACUUAACUAAUAAUGGUUGUCAAGUAGGAUUAGUUCUGACAAUCAUCUCCUUCCUCCUCCCCAAGCUUUCAAAAUCUCAUACUGAUUUUGUACCAAGACAUACACACAGGUACAAAAUAGAUUUUUAUCAUCCGUGCCAUAGUCCAAGUGAUGUAGUUAUUCUAUUGUGUGAAAAUAUGCAAUAGGAACAAUGGAAAAAGAAAAUGUGGGUUUCUUUCACUUAAAGGUCUUGACUUUGUUUUGACAAUUCAUAUGGGUUGUGUUGUACAUUUUCCAAGAUGAAAAUAAUGGGUCAAAUUCAUCCUUGGUAUUACCUUCAAUGGAAUUACACCAGGUGAACAUUUUGGUCCCAUCUGUCUAAAACCUGUGUACAAAAGGGAAUUUUGCCAUUUUCUUCAAUGGGAGCAAAAUGUAGAGACCUAACUUUUUAACCAACAAGGUCAAAAGUGUCGUUCAUUGAAUGACUAGGUGUUUUGUGUCUGUCAGUUUUCAAAACUGUAAUUAAUGAAAGCACAAUAGGUAUAUUUGUAUAAUUUUUUAGGCUUGGCAAUAAAAGCCAGAGACUUUUCA